UACGAAGGGGGCUAGCGUUGUUCGGAAUUACUGGGCGUAAAGCGCGCGCAGGUGGUCUUUCAAGUCAGUGGUGAAAGCCCGGAGCUCAACUCCGGAACUGCCAUUGAAACUGUAAGACUUGAGGAUGAGAGAGGUGAGUGGAAUUCCCAGUGUAGAGGUGAAAUUCGUAGAUAUUGGGAAGAACACCGGUGGCGAAGGCGGCUCACUGGCUCAUUUCUGACGCUCAGGCGCGACAGCGUGGGGAUCAAACAGG
rnacentral:rRNA from 1 species